UACAGAGGUCCCAAGCGUUGUUCGGAUUCAUUGGGCGUAAAGGGUGCGUAGGCGGCGCGGUAAGUCGGGUGUGAAAUCUCGGGGCUUAACUCCGAAACUGCAUUCGAUACUGCCGUGCUUGAGGACUGGAGAGGAGACUGGAAGUUUACGGUGUAGCGGGUGAAAUGCGUAGAUAUCGUAAGGGAAGACCAGUGGCGAAG
rnacentral:rRNA from 1 species